CAGCCGCCACGGUAAUACGGAGGGAGCUAGCGUUGUUCGGAAUUACUGGGCGUAAAGCGCACGUAGGCGGUUAUUCAAGUCAGAGGUGAAAGCCCGGGGCUCAACCCCGGAACUGCCUUUGAAACUAGAUGACUGGAAUCUUAGAGAGGUCAGUGGAAUUCCGAGUGUAGAGGUGAAAUUCGUAGGUAUUCGGAAGAACACCAGUGGCGAAGGCGACUGACUGGACAAGUAUUGACGCUGAGGUGCGAAAGCGUGGGGAGCAAACAGGAUUAGAUACCCGCGUAGUCCCUGUCUCUUAUAC
rnacentral:rRNA from 1 species